rnacentral:rRNA from 1 species
AACGGGGGAGCAAUCCCCAGUUGUGGCGAACGGCGGAGUAUACAUGAGGAACGUGCCCUGAAGACUGGGAUAGUCGUUGGAAACGACGGGUAAUACCAGAUGUGGCGGAGGCUUGGCAUCAAGCUUCCACUAAAAGGUUUUUCGCUUCAGGAGUGCCUCAUGGCCUAUCUAGUGUAGUUGGUGAGGUAAUGGCUCACCUAAGCCGACGACGGGUAGCGGGUCUCAGAGGAUGAUCCGCUCGAGUGGGACUGAGACACGGUCCACACACCAUACGGGUGGCAGCAGUUGGGGAUCUUGCACAAUGGGGGAAACCCUGAUGCAGCGACGCCGCGUGGAGGAUGAAGGGUCUAGGCCUGUAAACUCCUUUUAUGGGGAAAGACUUAGGACGGUACCCCAUGAAUAGGACCGGCUAACUACGUGCCAGCAGCCGCGGUAAGACGUAGGGUCCAAGCGUUGUCCGGAUUUACUGGGCGUAAAGAGCGCGUAGGCGGCUCGUUAAGUGUGAAGUGAAAUCUCUAGGGCUCAACCCAGAAACUGCUUUACAUACUGGCGAGCUAAGGGAUGCAGAAGGUUUGUGGAAUUCCCCUGGGUGUAGCGGGUGAAAUG